AUGAGAUUAAAUAUGGAUAUUAUAGAUUACCGAUCAAAAGACAUAGAAAAAGAAGAUUAUACUAAGUAUGAUAAUUAUCGCCCAUUUAUUUUUACUGUUAAAAAAUAUGAACGCGUUAAAAAACAAAAAGAUUAUAUAAAUAUGUUACUAAGCAUAUUUAUAAGCAUAAAUAAUUUAAUUAUUAAUUUUGAAGUGUUAAAAGCACAAAAUGUAAUAGAUAUGUGUGAUGUUAAAAAUAUAUAUAAUAAAAUAAAAUUAAAUAGAAAAAAAAUGACAAGUUAUAAUCAAAAAGUUCAAAACAAAAAUGAGCAUAAUAAUACACAUAAAACCAAAAUAAAAUUAAAUAGCAAAACUAGCGACAAUAAAUCAAGAAAAAAUAAUAAACAAACAACAGAUAUAGAAUUGGAAGAAAUAAGUAGUGUAUGCACUAUGUUUUCGGGAUGUGUAAAUGAUGAAGAAGCAGCAAAGGAAAAAGAGGAUACAGAGGGUAAAGAGAAAAAUGGGUAUAUGGAGUGGCAGGAAGGGGAACAAGAUAUAAGAUACGAGAUGAGAAACGAUGUAAGAUACGAUAUAAAAGAUCAGAUAAAAGAUCAGAUAAAAGAUCAGAUAAAAGAUCAGAUAAAUGAUGAGAUAAAAGAUGAGAUAAAUUAUGAGAGAGAAUAUAAAGAAGGACAUGAGGUAGGACAUAAUAUAAAACAUGAUAAAACAGAUGAAACGCAAUACGAACUAACAAAUACAGACACUGGUUACUGCCAUUGUGAUCAUUUUAAUAAAAUAAUAAAAAAAUAUCAUGUAAAUAAAAAAAUCGAAACAAAUAUAAAAAAAAAUAUAGAAAUAAAAUUAAAUAAUAAUUAUGACAAUUCUUUUUUAAAAGUUGGUAAUGUAUAUAAAUAUAUUUAUUAUAACUCUGUUUGUUCAUUAAUUAUAUAUUAUUAUUUAUGUAUUGAUAGAGAAUCUGGUACUGACUUAAUGCGUAUAUUAUUUGAUAAAAAUGGGAAUGAUAGUAGACGAAUAGGACAGAGUAAUUAUAAAAAGCAUAACAGGGGUGACAGGGGUGAUAAAAAUAACGAACGAAUCAGAAACAGCAACCCUGAACACUUUUUCAAACUAGUAAAAAAACAAUGCAGUUGUGAUAUAUAUGAAUUUAUUUUAACUACUCAUUUAUUAUAUACAGUGAAAAGAAAAACUUAUAUUAUUUUAAAACCAUUAUUUGAUAAUUUUAAUAAUAGAACAUACUUAUUAAUUAUUUUGUUUUAUGUUUUAAAGAAUUUUUUUAUAAAUAUAAAUGAAACAAGUAGAGUUGACAUUGCGAUAGGGACUAAAUUUGUUUAUCUAUUUAAAAAUAAGAUAAAUAUAUUAGCAUCCAAUAUAUUAAUUUAUCACAAUUUUAUAUUAUUUCUGUUAGAUAAUUAUUAUAUAUUGCGUGGAGAUAAAUGUUAUGAAAAAAAAAAAAAUGAAUAA
ensembl:lncRNA